AACGGCCGCGGUAUCCUAACCGUGCAAAGGUAGCAUAAUCACUUGCCUAUUAAUUGUAGGCUAGAAUGAAUGGGUUAACGAAAUAAAGACUGUCUCAAUUAAUCACCUAAAAAUUACUAUCUAUCUGAAGAAGGGUAGAUAAUCUCGAAGGACAAGAAGACCCUAUAGAGCUUAAUUUUAAUUAUAGAGCUACACUAUAAAAAUAUUCGGUUGGGGCGACCCAGGGCUAAUCAAUCACCCACUACAUAAAAGAUAAAUUAAUCAAGUAAUUGACCCCUAAAAGAUCAUAAGAACAAGCUACCUUAGGGAUAACAGGCUAAUCCCACUCAAGAGUCCUUAUCAACAGUGGGGUUUGGCACCUCGAUGUUGGCUUAGG
rnacentral:rRNA from 1 species